AUUUGAACAACUGUGUCUUUGGUUUGCGUUGUUUUUUAUUUUGAAGUGAAGGACCGGAAGUCACGUGUCCAUAGUAUUUUCCCGGUGGUUACCUGGCGGAAAGAGAGAUGAUGGAUUUGUCUUUAUUUUACGUCUCCGGCGGCUGUCAUUGAUGAAUGAUAGCCCCCCCCCCACCAUCUUCUCCGACAUGCCCCCCGAGUCUUCAGCUAAUGUCUUGGCAAAAUGUCGGAUUUCGAAGAAUUUGAGAAGCAGCUGAGCGAGAACCGUCAAGGACAACAGCGCCAUCUGCUGGCCGGACACCCCUCACCGAGCCUGAGGUUGCUGUUGACGCCAUCGUUGCGGUCUGCCUCUCCUUUGACCUUAUGUUGUACCUGACCGGAACUUCCUCGCCAUCUGUAUCUCCAAGUGCAUCUGAACACGCCUGUGAGUGUCUUUAUUGUCGCUUCAUCGCUGAUUAUAUCCCAAGUGGUCAUAAAUUGCUGUCGACGGUCAUCGAGUUACAGUUGGAAAUGUGUACUUGCACCUUCGUCCUAAAUCCUAAUUUGAGACCCUUGUGACCCUCAUUUUGGCCGAUUGAUUGGUUGGGCCCUAUUUGAAACUCUAAACCUGGUCUUGAAACCUUAGCCUUCAAGACAGAGGCAAGUGCAAUCGUAUCGUACUGACCGGUGUCGAUCCGUUUCCUCUUUUUAGUUGCAAUUGUGUAAAUUCGCAAAAGUGUGCCAUUUUUAUUU